CAACCCCUUCAAGCUCGGCUUGUGUGUUGGGCGUCGUCCCCGCUGGACGCGCCCGAAAGGCAGUGGCGGUUCCGUGUUCCGGUGCCCGAGCGUAUGGGGCUUUGUCACCCGCUCUAGAGGCCCGGCCGGCGACCAGCCCGCUAGAGGCUUAACCGGACUCCGGUUAAGGCUCCAACUAAACUUUUCGU
rnacentral:misc_RNA from 1 species